CUGGCAGAGAAUCCCCUCCUUGAUGCACGGAGCUGGCGCCAGACUGGAUCAGCGUUAACUAUCUACACUCCUCGCUGAAAGGGACAAAGCUUUAUGGGAGAGUGAAAGACAGAAAAAGAGAGAGGGGAAGGGAAAGAGAGAGAAAAUAAGUAGGGAGUGAGAGAGGGAGAGAAAUACAGAUCUUUACUCCUCUGUUAAAGGGACAGAAUCCACUAGGUUACCAGGGGCUGUGUACCAAUGUUGUGACCCGGGUCAGGGUCUAAGUACAUUGGUCAGGGAUUAAGGGUCAGUGAUCAGGUGAUGUUUGGGGACUUGAUGCUUUCCCCAUUGGGUUGUCAGUCUCCGGUUUACACCAUUGGGAACUGUGAGUAGGAGACAGAUCAACACCGGAGUAGAGGCACCAGAAAACAAAGCCGCAACCCUGUGAAGAAGAGGUGGAAGAGGAGGAGAGGAAGUGACAGAAGCGACAGAAGCGACAGGAGGGAUGUCAGCAGCGUGAGCAGCCCACCCAGGUCUCUGGAGGAUGUGCAGAGUCAGUGUGUCAUGGCCAACGUAUGGGAGCGACAGAGGACCCAGUCACUCAACCAGGCCUUCGCCUCACCACGACAGAUCAUCCCUGCGCUGCCCUCAGACAAACUCAGCAAGAUGCAGACGCUCAAACUGGCCAUGCGGUAACAAGACUUCCUCCACCCCGUACUGAAGGGCAAGAGGAUGGAUCUGGAUUUGAAUGAGGGGCCUGCGUCUGCAGCAUCCAUCUGUGGUUAUGUGGCCCACGAGCAUCUGAGCUAUGCCUUCUCAGCGUGGAGGAGGGAGGAUGGAGGAGGGAGCAUGGUCCAGGUCUGCUACAUCACACUAGCUCUCACUCCUCACUCCGCUGUAGAGGCACAAACAGAAUGAUCCAAGAGGAUCCAUACUGGUCAGGGGGUUUCACAUGCUGAAACUGGACUGUGGUAUUACAACAAUACCAGUGUCACGACUUUGCCCUCUUUGGGUACAGCGAGCACCCCUCCCCCUGCACCAGCCCUUUUCUAUGCACCAUCCCCCUACCCCCCUGUCUCCUACACCUAGGCUGCUGUGGUCAGAGAGGUUGUAAAUUCCUGGAGGAGAUUUUCUCCUCAUGGCCACAGUAUAGAGAGAGAGAGUAAAGUUUCCUAAAGAGAACAAAGGAAUUUCUUCCACCUCACAGAACUGAAGAACCGAACAACAUUUAUGUUCUGGAGAAGGUAUAAAAGAUCGGUGAAGAAUCCAGCUACGAACUGGUCCGUUUGGUACAAUUUUGUGAAACUCGUGGGAGGCAAUACGGCCACAUUACAAUAACGCUGUUUAUAUAAUAGCCUCAGAUAUGAGGCUUACAUCUAAUUGUUGAAUAAGAUGAAUGAGUAAGGAUGAUACUGUUUGUGAAAUUGUGUAAUGUGAUUUUGGACUGUUUAA